AUACGGAGGGUGCGAGCGUUGUUCGGAAUCAUUGGGCGUAAAGCGCGUGUAGGCGGCGGGGUACGUCUGGUGUGAAAGCCCGGAGCUCAACUCCGGAAGUGCACUGGAAACUGCCCCGCUUGAGUCCCGGAGAGGGUAGUGGAAUUCCUGGUGUAGAGGUGAAAUUCGGAUAUAUCAGGAGGAACACCGGUGGCGAAGGCGACUACCUGGACGGUGACUGACGCUGAGACGCAAAAGCGUGGGGAGCAAACAGGAUUAGAAACCCUAGUAGUCC
rnacentral:rRNA from 1 species